AUUGAACGCUGGCGGCAGGCUUAACACAUGCAAGUCGAGCGGAGCGAGGGUGCUUGCACCUUAGCUUAGCGGCGGACGGGUGAGUAAUGCUUAGGAAUCUGCCUAUUAGUGGGGGACAACAUUCCGAAAGGAAUGCUAAUACCGCAUACGCCCUACGGGGGAAAGCAGGGGAUCUUCGGACCUUGCGCUAAUAGAUGAGCCUAAGUCGGAUUAGCUAGUUGGUGGGGUAAAGGCCUACCAAGGCGACGAUCUGUAGCGGGUCUGAGAGGAUGAUCCGCAACACUGGGACUGAGACACGGCCCAGACUCCUACGGGAGGCAGCAGUGGGGAAUAUUGGACAAUGGGCGGAAGCCUGAUCCAGCCAUGCCGCGUGUGUGAAGAAGGCCUUUUGGUUGUAAAGCACUUUAAGCGAGGAGGAGGCUACUAGUAUUAAUACUACUGGAUAGUGGACGUUACUCGCAGAAUAAGCACCGGCUAACUCUGUGCCAGCCGCCGCCGUAAUAC
rnacentral:rRNA from 1 species